GGGUCAGUAGGUUGGUCGUGCCACCGGUACGUACUGGUCUCACUGAUUCCUCCUUCCUGAAGAACCGUAAUGCCAUUAACUUGGUGUUGCAGGGAAACAGGACUGUUACUUUGAAAAAAUUAGAGUGUUUAAAGCAAGCUAACGCUUGAAUACAUUAGCAUAGAAUAAUGAAAUAGGACGAUCGAUCCUAUUUUGUUGGUUUCUAGGAUUGACGUA
rnacentral:rRNA from 1 species